CGACGGUUGGUGCUAUGCCAACCGUGGCGUUAACGGAUAACAGAGAAUCUGGGUUCGAUUCUGGAGAGGCCGCAUGAGAAACGGCGACCACUUCCAAGGAAGGCAGCAGGCACGCAAAUUACCCACUUCGGACACCGAGAGGUAGUGACGAACAAUACCGAUGCGGCGCACUUACGUGUCGCCGUAAUCGGAAUGAGUACACUUCAAAUCCUUUAACGAGGAUCCACUGGAGGGCAAGCCUGGUGCCAGCAGCCGCGGUAAUUCCAGCUCCAGCAGCGUAUAUUUAUAUUGCUGCGUUUAAAAAGCUCGUAGUUGAAGCGUCAGACGCGGGAGGGCGGACGGCCGCACUGGUCGCUCUCGCCCGACCGAGCCAGGCGCAGAGGGCGCGCGUCGCUUGCACUUCACCGUGUGAGCGCGCCGCCGCUGCACGUUCACCUUGAAGAAAUUGAACCGCUUAGAGGGGGCGAGCAGCUUGAACAGCUCAGCAUGGUAUGAUGGAACAUGGGCUCGUACUCAUUUUGUUGGUUAGAGAGUCGGCGAGCCAAUGAUUAACAGGGACUGCCGGGGGCAUUAGUACUCGGACGGGAGAGGUGAAAUUCAAGGAUCGUCCGAAGACUUCCUACUGCGAAAGCAUUUGCCAAGAAUGUUUUCAUUAAUCAAGAACGAAAGUCAGAGGUGCGAAGGCGAUCAGAUACCGCCGUAGUUCUGACCGUAAACGUUGCCAACUGGCAAUUGGGCGCACUUCUGUCGAAGUUGCCGCCAGCAGUAUUUCCCGGGAAACCAAAGUCAUUGGGUUCCGGGGGGAGUAUGGUUGCAAAGCUGAAACUUAAAGGAAUUGACGGAAGGGCACCACCAGGAGUGGAGCCUGCGGCUUAAUUUGACUCAACACGGGAAACCUCACCCGGCCCGAACACUGUUAUGACAGACAGGUUGAGAGCUCUUUCUCGAUUCAGUGGUUGGUGGUGCAUGGCCGUUCUUAGUUCGUGGAGCGAUCUGUCUGGUUAAUUCCGAUAACGAACGAGAUUCUUGCCUGCUAAAUAGACGGCGUCGACUUUGCGCGACGACCGUUCGCUUCUUAGAGGGACAAGCGGCUUUUAGCCGCGUGAAGCUGAGAGCAAUAACAGGUCAGUGAUGCCCUCAGAUGUUCGGGGCCGCACGCGCGCUACACUGUUUGCAUCAGCGUGUUUCUCCCGCGCCGAUCGGCGCGGGCAACCCGUUGAACCGCAAACGUGCUAGGGAUCGGAGAUUGCAAUUGUUCUCCGUGAACGAGGAAUUCCUUGUACUGGCGAGUCAUCAGCUCGCGGGGAAUCUGUCCCUGCCCUUUGUACACACCGCCCGUCGCUACUACCGAUUGAGUGGUUUAGUGAGGCUCAC
rnacentral:rRNA from 1 species